rnacentral:rRNA from 1 species
AUACGUAGGUGGCAAGCGUUGUCCGGAAUUAUUGGGCGUAAAGCGCAUGUAGGCGGUUUGGUAAGUCGGUCGUGAAAAUGCGGUGCUUAACGCCGUAUGGCGAUUGAAACUGCUGAACUUGAGUGCAGGAGAGGAAAGGGGAACUCCCAGUGUAGCGGUGAAAUGCGUAGAUAUUGGGAAGAACACCGGUGGGGAAGGCGCCUUUCUGGACUGUGUCUGACGCUCAGAUGCGAAAGCCAGGGUAGCGAACGGGAUUAGAUACCCCGGUAGUCCUGGCCGUAAACGAUGGGUACUAGGUGUGGGAGGUAUCGACUCCUUCCGUGCCGGAGUUAACGCAAUAAGUCCCCCGCCUGGGGAGUACGGCCGCAAGGCUUAAACUCAAAUGAAUUGGCGGGG